rnacentral:rRNA from 1 species
UACAGAGGGUGCAAGCGUUUAUCGGAAUUACUGGGCGUAAAGCGUGCGUAGACGGUUAUGUAAGUCGGGUGUGAAAGCCCCGGGCUCAACCUGGGAAUGCCAUUCGAGACUGCAUAGCUAGGGUGCGGAAGAGGGAAGCGGAAUUUCAGGUGUAGCGGUGAAAUGCGUAGAUAUCUGAAGGAACACCAGUGGCGAAAGCGGCUUCCUGGUCCAGCACCGACGUUCAGGCACGAAAGCGUGGGGAGCAAACAGG